ACCCUUCACUCUGGGACAAGCCCUGGAAACGGGGUCUAAUACCGGAUAACACCUGCCCGCGCAUCCGGGUGGGUUAAAUGCUCCGGCGGUGAAGGAUGAGCCCGCGGCCUAUCAGCUUGUUGGUGAGGUAGUGGCUCACCAAGGCGACGACGGGUAGCCGGCCUGAGAGGGCGACCGGCCACACUGGGACUGAGACACGGCCCAGACUCCUACGGGAGCCAGCAGUGGGGAAUAUUGCACAAUGGGCGAAAGCCUGAUGCAGCGUCGCCGCGUGAGGGAUGACGGCCUUCGGGUUGUAAACCUCUUUCAGC
rnacentral:rRNA from 1 species